GGCAGGGGGAGCGAUUUACAAAAUUCCCACUGCUAAAGUACAUUUGGAUUGGGGAGCGGGGUCGGGGAAUGUGGAAGUGGGCCUCAUGCAGGACUUACCAGCUGAUGUCAUCCUGGGUAACGACUUGGGGGAGCUGACCUCCGCUUUUGUUUCUCAGCACCCCGUGCAGGAAGCGCUACCCGUGGUAACACGGCAGCAGGCCCGCACCACCGCAUCUUCUGAACACUCUGAGGCUCCGGUAAGUAACAGUACUGACCCACCUUUCGUCCCCUGGGCUCCCCCUUAGAAUUUGGUACUGAAGUAGUCACCGACCCGUCCCUGCAGGUAUACCGGGAUAG